rnacentral:rRNA from 1 species
CUACGGGGGGCUCCAGUGGGGAAUAUUGGACAAUGGGGGAAACCCUGAUCCAGCAAUGCCGCGUGUGCGAAGAAGGCCUGCGGGUUGUAAAGCACUUUCGGUUGGGAGGACUGCUUCUAGCACUAAUAUUGUUGGAAGUUGACGUUACCUUCAGAAGAAGCACCGGCUAACUCCGUGCCAGCAGCCGCGGUAAUACGGAGGGUGCAAGCGUUAAUCGGAAUUACUGGGCGUAAAGCGCGCGUAGGCGGCUAGAUCAGUCGGGUGUGAAAGCCCCGGGCUUAACCUGGGAACUGCAUCCGAUACUGUCUAGCUUGAGUACAGGAGAGGAGAGUGGAAUUCCACAUGUAGCGGUGAAAUGCGUAGAUAUGUGGAGGAACACCAAUGGCGAAGGCAGCUCUCUGGCCUGAUACUGACGCUGAGGUGCGAAAGCGCGGGGAGCAAACAGGAUUAGAUACCCUUGUAGUC